CUGGAAGGGCCUAUGGGCCAUAACAACCAGUUGGCCAAUCCACACAGGGCAAGCCCUCCAAACCUGGAGGCACACCAAUCCUGAGCCUGUGUGUACCCCUAGACACUCCCUUUACGCUGCCCUACAAGAUCUCUAUGCAGCUCCUUCAAGCUGUCUUUGCUAGCCAUCCACCAUGGUGGGUGGGUGAAAGACCCAAGCUAACAUGGGGUUAGCUCGUUAAACAACAAUAAAGCCUCAUGCUGUUUGCAGCAAGCUUUUGAAUCUGCCUGGUGAUUGGGGUGACUGAGGUCCUGGGCUGAGACCCCGGAGGCCAGAGUUUUCUGGGGGUCUAACAUUUGGGGGCUCGUCCUGGAUUUGCGACCACCCCUCACCUGAGUGGAUUCGAUCUUGGAGAUGUGCCCGGAGGAUCACAGACUGCUGCCCUGAGGACACCCAGGAGGAUCCACCAUGACACCCCCUUUCAUUGAGUCACUUGGCGCCACACUAGGAACAAGAACCUGG
rnacentral:lncRNA from 1 species